rnacentral:RNase_P_RNA from 1 species
GGAGUCGGCCAGACAGCCGCUCCGUGGCUGGAAUCCAGACGCGGGGAGGAAAGUCCGGGCUCCACAGGGCAGGACGCCAGGUAACACCUGGGAGGCGCGAGCCUAUGGAAAGUGCCACAGAAAACAUACCGCCUACGUCUGCAUCCGUGCAGGCCGGUAAGGGUGAAAUGGUGCGGUAAGAGCGCACCGCGCCAGUGGCAACACUGGUGGCAGGGAAAACCCCGUCCGGAGCAAGACCAAAUAGGGAAACCAUGGUGCGGCCCGCACCGUUUCCGGGUAGGUUGCUUGAGGUACGCGGUGACGCGUAUCCCAGAGGAAUGGCUGUCCACGACAGAACCCGGCUUAUCGGCUGACUCCCGCU